AGUUGCUCUGUGGAGCACUCUUCUCCUCAGGAGGGAUGUUCUCCUCUGCUGAUGACGAUCAAUUACAGACACAGACACCCGUAUCAGAUCAGCACCAUAUGGACAUUUUACUCACCAGUCUGGUUGAUGUUUCCUUCAGUGUGAUCCACAAUAUCAGCCCAACUUUUAAUGGCUUCAGGAUCGACUGUCAUUUCCACGGCAUUUCCUGCAAUAAAAUGUUUAGCGAUUCAGCCUCGAUCUUGUCAGUAUAAAGGAGCAUUAGACGCUUAACGGCUUCUACCUCAGCUUCGAUUUUCGGUCUCAGUUUCCAGAUGGUCAUCUGUGUCCAACAGCUCAAACAUCUCCUCUUCUACUUUAACAUGAAAUAAAUAUCAACAAUUACAGAAAUGAA